rnacentral:lncRNA from 1 species
AGAGAAUUAAUCUAGUACUGAAAGUAUAAGCUACAACUAGCUAGAACCACAGUGCAUAAAAUGUGGUGAGUAGUUGCCUCAAAGACAGAGAAAGACAAUGGUUUAACAGUUUUGAACAAAUUCAUUCAUUCCAAAAUUAAGGAGAAGCGAGAGAGAGAGAUAUAUAUAUAUAUAUUUUUCCUCUUACUUUCACUUAGCUAGUGAAUGCAGCUAGCUAGUGAAUGCAGCUAGCUAGUUUAGCCUACUCAAACACGUGGCUCAAACAGAGAGGGAUGCCAUGUUAGCUAGCUGGCUAUGGUUAUCCAACACUGGAACUUUUCUAAGUCAAGGUUAAUGACGACAUACAAGUCUCUGAGUCUGAGUGGUGAUGGUGUAUGCCCAGACUGGGGUGCAACAGUACCCUGAGUAGGCACUCUGGCUGGUUCAGACUCAAAAUUCACCAGCUCAGAAGUAUGUGAGAAGUAUGUGGCAUGGACUCCAGACAAUCAUGAAUUAUAAAGGGAAAACCUGCCACGUAGCCAACACCAACAUCUUGCUCCCGGACAAGCUAAACACCUUCUUCACCUACUUCGAUGGGAAAUACAGUGCCGCCGCCGAUAGCCACCACCGCUCCCGUGGACUGUGAACUCUCAUUCUCCAUGGCCGAAGUGAGUAAGACAUUUAAGGGUGGUAACCCUCGCAAGGCUGCCGGCCCAGACGUUAUCCCUAGCCACGUCCUUAGAGCAUGUGCAGACCAGCUGGUUGGAGUGUUUACGGACAUAUUCAGUCUCUCGCUAUCCCAGUCUGUUGUCCCCACUUGCUUCAAGAUGUCCACCAUCAUUCCUGUACAUUUUUUAAAAAAGGGUUCCAAAUGGGUUCUUCGGCUGUCCCCAUAGGAGAACCCUUUUUGGUUCCAGGUAUAACUAUUUUGAGUUCCAUGUAGAACACUUUACACAGAGGGUUUUACAUGGAAACCAAAAUAGGUAUACCUGGAAUCAAAAAGGGUUCUACUCAGAACCGAAAAGGGUUCUCAAAUGGUUCUCAAAUGGGGACAGCCGGAGAACCCUUUUAGGAUCUAGAUAUCACUUAUUUUUCUAAGAGUGUACCCAAUAAAGUGAUGGUAACUGAACUAAAUGACUAUCGCCCCGUAGCACUCACUGUUGUCAUCAUGAAGUGCCUUGAGAGGCUAGUCAAGGAUCAUAUCAUCUCUACCUUACCCGACACCCUAGACGCACUGCAAUUUUCAUACCGCCCCAAUAGAUUCACAGAUGACACAAUCGCCAUUGCACUGCACACUGCCUAUCCCAUCUGAACAAGAUGAAUACCAAUGUAAGAAUGCUGUUCAUUGACUACAGUCUUCAACACCAUAGUACCCUCCAAGCUCAUCAUGAAGCUCAGUAAGAUUGGUCUGAACCCUGCCCUGUGCAACUGAGUCCUGGUCUUCCUGACGGGCCACCCCCAGGUGGUGAAGGUAGGCAACAACACCUCCACUACGCUGAUGCUCAACACAGGGGCCCCACAAGGGUUCGUGCUCAGCCGCCUCCUGUACUCCCUGUUCACCCAUGACUGCGUGGCCACGCACGUCUCCAACUCAAUCAAGUUUGCAAACGACAUAACAGUGGUAGGCCUGCUUACCAACAACGAUGAGACAGCCUACUGGGAGGAGAUGAGGGCCCUGGUGGAGUGGUGCCAGGAAAAUAACCUCUCCCUCAACAUCAUCAAAACGAAGGAGCUGAUCGUGGACCGAGAGACUGAAAAACAGCUUCUAUCUCAAGGCCAUCAGACUAUUAAAUAGUCACCACUAGCCGGCCCCCGCUCAGUACCCUGCCCUGAACUUAGUCACUGUCACUAGCCGGCUACCACCCACUUACUUAACCUGUUGAGGGUAGGGGGCAGUAUUGACACGGCUGGAUAAAAAACGUACCCG